rnacentral:rRNA from 1 species
UACGUAGGAGGCGAGCGUUGUCCGGAUUUACUGGGCGUAAAGGGCGCGUAGGCGGCCCGCACAAGUCUGCGGUGAAAACCCCCGGCUUAACCGGGGGCCGGCCGUGGAAACUGUCGGGCUGGAGGCUGGGAGAGGGCAGCGGAAUUCCCGGUGUAGCGGUGAAAUGCGUAGAGAUCGGGAGGAACACCGGCGGCGAAGGCGGCUGCCUGGACCAGUCCUGACGCUGAGGCGCGAAAGCUAGGGGAGCAAACAGG